GAGUAACACGUAUGCAACCUGCCCCUGUCAGGGGGACAACCCGCCGAAAGGCGGGCUAAACCCGCGUACAUGCCACCGGGGCAUCCCGGAGGCAGGAAAGGCUUCGGCCGGACAGGGAUGGGCAUGCGGCGCAUUAGGCAGUAGGCGGGGUAACGGCCCACCUAACCGACGAUGCGUAGGGGUUCUGAGAGGAAGGUCCCCCACACUGGUACUGAGACACGGACCAGACUCCUACGGGAGGCAGCAGUGAGGAAUAUUGGUCAAUGGUCGGGAGACUGAACCAGCCAAGCCGCGUGAGGGAUGAAGGUACAGAGUAUCGUAAACCUCUUUUGUCAGGGAACAAAGGCGGGGACGUGUCCCCGGAUGAGUGUACCUGAAGAAAAAGCAUCGGCUAACUCCGUGCCAGCAGCCGCGGUAAUACGGAGGAUGCGAGCGUUAUCCGGAUUUAUUGGGUUUAAAGGGUGCGCAGGCGGUCUGUUAAGUCAGCGGUCAAAGCCCGGGGCUCAACCCCGGUCCGCCGUUGAAACUGGCAGUCUCGAGUUGGAGAGAAGUAUGCGGAAUGCGCGGUGUAGCGGUGAAAUGCAUAGAUAUCGCGCAGAACUCCGAUUGCGAAGGCAGCAUGCCGGCUCCACACUGACGCUGAGGCACGAAAGCGUGGGUAUCGAACAGGAUUAGAUACCCUGGUAGUCCACGCAGUAAACGAUGAAUGCUG
rnacentral:rRNA from 1 species